rnacentral:tRNA from 1 species
GUGGGUGUAGCUCAGCCGGUAGAGCGCCGGAUUGUGGUUCCGGUGGCCGAGGGUUCGAAUCCCUCCACCCACCCCA